rnacentral:rRNA from 1 species
AUUGAACGCUGGCGGCAGGCCUAACACAUGCAAGUCGAACGAGUGGCGGACGGGUGAGUAAUGUCUGGGAAACUGCCUGAUGGAGGGGGAUAACUACUGGAAACGGUAGCUAAUACCGCAUACCAUCAGAUGUGCCCCGAUGGGAUUAGCUUGUUGGGGGGGUAACGGCGCACCAAGGCGACGAUCCCUAGCUGGUCUGAGAGGAUGACCAGCCACACUGGAAAGGAGACAGGGUCAAGACUCCUCAGGGAGGCAGCAGUGGGGAAUAUUGCCAAAUGGGCGCACGCCUGAUGCAGCCAUGCCUCGUGUAUGAAGAAGGCCUUCGGGUUGUAAAGUACUUUCAGCGGGGAGGCGUUACCCGCCGAAGAAGCACCGGCUAACUCCGUGCCAGCAGCCGCGGUAAUAC